rnacentral:rRNA from 1 species
GGUCAGGACGAACGCUGGCGGCGUGCCUAACACAUGCAAGUCGAGCGAGGAGAUCCUCGGGAUGAUCCUAGCGGCGGACGGGUGAGUAACACGUGGGCAACCUGCCUCAUAGAGAGGAAUAGCCUUCCGAAAGGGAGAUUAAUACCUCAUAACAUUGCAGUUUCGCAUGGAACAGCAAUUAAAGGAGCAAUCCGCUAUGAGAUGGGCCCGCGGCGCAUUAGCUAGUUGGUGAGGUAACGGCUCACCAAGGCGACGAUGCGUAGCCGACCUGAGAGGGUGAUCGGCCACAUUGGGACUGAGACACGGCCCAGACUCCUACGGGAGGCAGCAGUGGGGAAUAUUGCACAAUGGGGGAAACCCUGAUGCAAGCAACGCCGCGUGAGUGAUGACGGCCUUCGGGUUGUAAAGCUCUGUCUUCAGGGACGAUAAUGACGGUACCUGAGGAGGAAGCCACGGCUAACUACGUGCCAGCAGCGGC